rnacentral:misc_RNA from 1 species
UCGUAACAAGGUUUCCGUAGGUGAACCUGCGGAAGGAUCAUUACCGAGUGCAGGUCUGCCCCCGGGCAGGCCUAACCUCCCACCCGUGAAUACCUGACCAACGUUGCUUCGGCGGUGCGCCCCCCCCCGGGGGUAGCCGCCGGAGACCACACCGAACCUCCUGUCUUUAGUGUUGUCUGAGCUUGAUAGCAAACCUAUUAAAACUUUCAACAAUGGAUCUCUUGGUUCCGGCAUCGAUGAAGAACGCAGCGAACUGCGAUAAGUAAUGUGAAUUGCAGAAUUCAGUGAAUCAUCGAGUCUUUGAACGCACAUUGCGCCCCCUGGCAUUCCGGGGGGCAUGCCUGUCCGAGCGUCAUUGCUGCCCUUCAAGCCCGGCUUGUGUGUUGGGUCGUCGUCCCCCCCGGGGGACGGGCCCGAAAGGCAGCGGCGGCACCGCGUCCGGUCCUCGAGCGUAUGGGGCUUUGUCACCCGCUCGAUUAGGGCCGGCCGGGCGCCAGCCGGCGUCUCCAACCUUCUAUUUUACCAGGUUGACCUCGGAUCAGGUAGGGAUACCCGCUGAACCUAAGCAUAUCA